rnacentral:misc_RNA from 1 species
AAGUCGUAACAAGGUUUCCGUAGGUGAACCUGCGGAAGGAUCAUUACAGAGUGCGAGGUCCCGCAUGUAGCAUCUUGCUACAUGUUGGGCCGACCCACCCACCCGUGUCGAUUUGUAUCUUGUUGCUUUGGCGGGCCGGGCUACGUCGUCGCUGUCCGCAAGGACAUGCGUCGGCCGCCCACCGGCUUCGGCUGGAGCGCGUCCGCCAAAGACCCAACCAAAACUCAUGUUGUUAUUGUCGUCUCAGCUUUUAUUAUUGAAAUUGAUAAAACUUUCAACAACGGAUCUCUUGGCUCUG